rnacentral:rRNA from 1 species
CAGUAGCCACGGGAAUACGGAGGAUCCAAGCGUUAUCCGGAAUCAUUGGGUUUAAAGGGUCCGUAGGCGGUCUUGUAAGUCAGUGGUGAAAGCCCAUCGCUCAACGGUGGAACGGCCAUUGAUACUGCAGGACUUGAAUUAUUGGGAAGUAACUAGAAUAUGUAGUGUAGCGGUGAAAUGCUUAGAGAUUACAUGGAAUACCAAUUGCGAAGGCAGGUUACUACCAAUUGAUUGACGCUGAUGGACGAAAGCGUGGGUAGCGAACAGGAUUAGAUACCCCGGUAGUCCCUGUCUCUUAUAC